rnacentral:rRNA from 1 species
UACAGAGGGUGCAAGCGUUAAUCGGAUUUACUGGGCGUAAAGCGUGAGUAGGUGGCUCGCUAAGUCGAUUGUGAAAGCCCUGGGCUCAACCUGGGAAUUGCAGUCGAUACUGGAGAGCUAGAGUUCGGUAGAGGGUGACGGAAUUCCCGGUGUAGCGGUGAAAUGCGUAGAUAUCGGGAGGAACAUCGAUGGCGAAGACAAUCACCUGGGCCUGAACUGACACUGAGACACGAAAGCGUGGGUAGCAAACGGG